UACAGAGGGUGCGAGCGUUGUUCGGAAUUAUUGGGCGUAAAGGGCGCGUAGGCGGUGCGGUAAGUCACCUGUGAAAUCUCCUGGCUCAACUGGGAGCUUGCAGGCGAAACUGCCGUGCUGGAGUGUGGGAGAGGUGAGUGGAAUUCCCGGUGUAGCGGUGAAAUGCGUAGAUAUUCGGAAGAACACCAGUGGCGAAGGCGAAUUACUGGACACAUAUUGACGCUGAGGUGCGAAAGCGUGGGGAGCAACAGG
rnacentral:rRNA from 1 species